AGAGGUGCAGCUCCUGCAAAGAGUAGACAAAGCAGAGAAAAUAUUGAUUCUUGCUCAAGAAGAUAUCUCAUGUCUUCAGAGAGGCACCAGUGUUGAUUUCUGAAGGAGACAUGGCGAGAUGGAAAAAAGCUAGCCCAACAGAAACCAAUAAGUAAGGAACUGAAGUUAAAGUCUUAAAUACUACACUGUCUGUAGAUGGAAAAGGGACUACAUCAUCAGACUGAUUCAGUUCUACAAG